rnacentral:rRNA from 1 species
AACGUAGGACACAAGCGUUAUCCGGAGUUACUGGGCGUAAAGGGCGUUUAGGCGGGUGAUUAAGUUCGCUAUGAAAGCGCCGGGCUAAACUCGGCGAGGCUGGCGGAUACUGGUCAUCUGGAGUGAGUCAGAGGAAGGUAGAAUUCCGCGUGUAGUGGUGAAAUGCGUAGAUAUCUGGAGGAACACCGGUGGCGAAGGCGGCAUCCUGGACCGAGAUUGACGCUGAGGCGCGAAAGCUAGGGGAGCAAACGGG